rnacentral:sRNA from 1 species
GCCGGGCACAGUAGUGCAUACCUGUAAUCCCAUCAGCUCAGGAGGCUGAGACAGGAGGAUCAUGAGUUCAAAGCCAGCCUCAGCAACUUAGUGAGGUACUGAGCAACUCAGUGAGACCCUGUCUCUA